rnacentral:lncRNA from 1 species
AUUUACUGAACUUUAAUAUUUACAAACUAUAGGUUUCUAUUAAUAAAACAAAAAAUAUUUUAAAGGAAAUUAAAAGUAGUAUUUAUUGAUAAAUAGGAAACAAAAAAGAAAAAUUCCCCAUAAAAUUUAAAACAAAUCAAACUUGGGCAAGUUUGGAACCCCCAAAAUCGAAACCCUAAAUUCACCCCAAAUCCUACAUCUGGAACGCUUCACCCCAAAUCGAAGAGCCUCGUCCGCCGCCAUGACCGUGCAACCUCCUUCAUACCUUCUUCCCACCAUUCGAUGUCUCCUACGCCCUGAGUCCACCGUGCCGUACUCUGAAUCGUUGUCUCCACCGUCGGAUUCCGCUGCGUCGUGGAGCUUUGAAUCGUACUCCAGCGCCUCGUGCCAUAUCUUCACAUUCCACCGUCAGAAUCCGCUGCGCCGUGGAGCUCUGAAUGCUGUCUUCACCGUCAGAGUCAGCUGCGCCGUGGAGCUUUGAAUCGUACUCCACAGACGAAAUGUUAUAUUUCAAUCUCACGCACGCAUUGG